UCCCUUGUAGCUUAGUCGGUAAAGAAUCUGCCUGCAGUGCAAGAGACCCAGGUUAGAUCCCUGGGUUGGGAA
rnacentral:tRNA from 1 species